GGAUAGCUCAAUGGUGGUAAAGCGUGUGCUUAGCAGGCACGAGGUCUUGGGUUCAAUCCCCAGUACGUCCA
rfam:Camelus ferus unplaced genomic scaffold scaffold681, whole genome shotgun sequence.